rnacentral:rRNA from 1 species
CCUACGGGGGGCAGCAGUGGGGAAUAUUGGACAAUGGGGGGAACCCUGAUCCAGCCAUGCCGCGUGUGUGAAGAAGGCCCUCGGGUUGUAAAGCACUUUCAGUGAGGAAGAACGCCUGGUGGUUAAUACCCAUCAGGAAAGACAUCACUCACAGAAGAAGCACCGGCUAACUCCGUGCCAGCAGCCGCGGUAAUACGGAGGGUGCGAGCGUUAAUCGGAAUUACUGGGCGUAAAGCGCGCGUAGGUGGCUUGAUAAGCCGGUUGUGAAAGCCCCGGGCUCAACCUGGGAACGGCAUCCGGAACUGUCAAGGUAGAGUGCAGGAGAGGAAGGUAGAAUUCCCGGUGUAGCGGUGAAAUGCGUAGAGAUCGGGAGGAAUACCAGUGGCGAAGGCGGCCUUCUGGACUGACACUGACACUGAGGUGCGAAAGCGUGGGUAGCAAACAGGAUUAGAUCCCUAGUAGUC